rnacentral:tRNA from 1 species
GCGGGGGUACCCGAGUUAGGCCAAAGGGGCAAGGCUUAGGACCUUGUGGCGUAGGCCUCCGAGGGUUCAAAUCCCUUCCCCCGCA